rnacentral:lncRNA from 1 species
CGGAGGGAGAGAUGGUGGAGAGGCUGGGACCGGGAGCAAGGGAAGGAGAGAGUGCAGGAGCAAACACCUUGGAAGGAGACGGAGCUGGAGAAGAGACAGGUGGAGAAGAAAGAGGUGUAACUGUUGGGGUCAAUGAGGGUGGUGGAACUGCGGGGGGAGGAGUGGCGGGGGGAGGAGUGGCAGGAGGUGGUGAAAAAGGAGGGGGAGAGGAAGGGGGAGGGGAAGAAGGAGGAGGAGAGGCGGGGGGUGGAGAAGAAGGAGGAGGAGAGGCGGGGGGUGGAGAAGAAGGAGGAGGGGAGGAGGGUGGAGGAGAGGAAGGAGGAGGAGAGCUGAGUGGGGAUGGAGGGGGAGUGGAAGCUGGUGGUGGAGACUGAGAGGGUGGAGGUGAAGAGGGAACAGGUGGCGGAGAAGACUGGACGGGAGGUGGAGAUGCUUGGGGUGUGGGAGGCGCAGGAGAGGUGGAUGGGCCUUGGGCUUGGGCUCCAACGCCGGCAACUAGAGUGAAGAUCAAACCAAGCAAGAAAACCA